CACCCAGCGAAGAAACCUUCUGAGCCUCAGCUUAAACAGCCCAGGAGUCCAGGUCAUCAGGUAGAUUCACGGCAGGUGCGUGGGCCAAGGGCGGAGCCCAGCUGAGCUCCGCCCAGGCAGACAGUUUCCCAGCAUGCCUUGGCUGUGCUCAUGGAAGUGAAUGAGGGGGAAAGAUCUGUCCUGCUGCCCUGUCAGUACUCGGAUUUCAUACCUGGUGAUCUCAGAGGACAAAAGCAGCGUUACAGCGGCGCACAUCGAUGAGAGCUGAUGCUCUCAACACUUCAGACCUCCGCCUGUCUCUGAGAAAACCAACAAUGGCUGUCAGCAGCAACUACACCUGCUCCACCAGUGCUGGGAGAGAAGAGCUGAGACUGACAGCUCUUUGUACAGGCCUUCACCUCCUCAUUCAUCCACAGUCUGCCUCCCUCUGCUCCAUCAGCUGACGUCCUCUGUACAACUACCUGCUGUGUGCACAUCUUUGAUUUCUUCUUCUUAUCCUGCAAAGCUC